GUGGGGAAUUGUUCGCAAUGGGCGCAAGCCUGACGACGCAACGCCGCGUGGAGGAUGAAGACCUUCGGGUCGUAAACUCCUUUCGAUCGAGACGAAUGGCCCUUGGGUUAACAGCCGAGGGGUAUGACGGUACCGAGAGAAGAAGCCCCGGCUAACUCCGUGCCAGCAGCCGCGGUAAUACGGGGGGGGCAAGCGUUGUUCGGAAUUACUGGGCGUAAAGGGCUCGUAGGUGGCCAACUAAGUCAGACGUGAAAUCCCUCGGCUUAACCGGGGAACUGCGUCUGAUACUGGAUGGCUUGAGUUCGGGAGAGGGAUGCGGAAUUCCAGGUGUAGCGGUGAAAUGCGUAGAUAUCUGGAGGAACACCGGUGGCGAAGGCGGCAUCCUGGACCGACACUGACACUGAGGAGCGAAAGCCAGGGGAGCAAACGGGAUUAGAAACCCGGGUAGUCC
rnacentral:rRNA from 1 species